UAAGCUAAAAAAGGAAUAAAGAAGUAUUACAGAGGUUUUAUUUAACAUUGAGGGGGCCUUUUGGACAUUACUGUGAUGAUGCAGGGGCCCACUGACUGCACUACUAGUGAGCCAAGGGACAACAUAGAGCUGUGUAUGUGACUGACAAAUUGUUCUAAAAGCUUUUUUGUGAGCUCUGCUUUGAAAAGGGAAACUUGGCUUACCCAGAGGUAAUGUCUCAUAAUGAUGCUGGUUUCGAAUAGCUGUUACAAGACUAUUGCCUGGUCUGGCCAACAGAGUAACUCCUCUGUUCCGAGAGACUUCAGAAGCCUACAACAAAGGAGGUAAGGGGAAGAAUGGGCAAAUGGCAAUCAGCAGCACAUCAAUUAGUAAAAAUGUUUUUGAUCUUUAUUUUUAUGACAUUCAGAGUGGUCCAUGAUGCUGACUGACUGGAGGACAGAAAGUCUGCAUGAAAAUUAUAGCUUUACGCUUCAGUCAGCUUAAAAAUAUCAGGUCUUCAUCUCACAUCCUCACGGGCCAACUGACACUGCAAGUUCAGCUCAGAAAGCUUUCGCCCUGUGACCCAGGCUUCUGCUCUGGCAGGCACAAUGUGGCCUUCAUGGCAUUCACUCUAUGCUAUGGAAGGAGGAGGAGGUUGUAUCUGCAAAUGUUGCCCUAUAAUCCUGUUGUAGUUUGAUGAUUUUUUGUUGUACUUCACAUCAGAACAUCAUGUGACCCAGUGGAAGUUAACGGGUUAAUGUUCUGGUUCUGUUUACUGUCUCUUAUGGGCACUUCGAGUAGGAGGGGAGGGGCAGCAUUCCCGGAGGACUUGACGCGAAGAGGAAGUGAGGUGGAGCUCCGGACAGGACUGCAGGCGUGUCUCUGUCCCUCCGGGCCGGUUCAGCUUCCUACGCAGAAGGGCGGGUGCUUCCCUCGCGCUUUGAGUGCUCUUCUCUGUCUCAUUUGGUUUGAUUUUGUCGGAUUUAGUAAAUUACCGUUCCUCU